rnacentral:rRNA from 1 species
GACGAACGCUGGCGGCGUGCCUAAUACAUGCAAGUUGAGCGCUGAAGGUUGGUACUUGUACCAACUGGAUGAGCAGCGAACGGGUGAGUAACGCGUGGGGAAUCUGCCUUUGAGCGGGGGACAACAUUUGGAAACGAAUGCUAAUACCGCAUAAAAACUUUAAACACAAGUUUUAAGUUUGAAAGAUGCAAUUGCAUCACUCAAAGAUGAUCCCGCGUUGUAUUAGCUAGUUGGUGAGGUAAAGGCUCACCAAGGCGAUGAUACAUAGCCGACCUGAGAGGGUGGACGGCCACAUUGGGACUGAGACACGGCCCAAACUCCUACGGGAGGCCGCAGUAGGGAAUCUUCGGCAAUGGGCGAAAGUCUGACCGAGCAACGCCGCGUGAGUGAAGAAGGUUUUCGGAUCGUAAAACUCUGUUGGUAGGGAAGAACGUUGGUGAGAGUGGAAAGCUCAUCAAGUGACGGUAACUACCCAGAAAGGGACGGCUAACUACGUG